rnacentral:rRNA from 1 species
AAAGGGGGAAGGAAAGUCUGAAUCAGACAUGCCGCGUGCAGGAAGACAGCCCUAUGGGUUGUAAACUGCUUUUAUACAGGAAGAAACACUCCUACGUGUACGAGCUUGACGGUACUGUAAGAAUAAGGACCGGCUAACUCCGUGCCAGCAGCCGCGGUAAUACGGAGGGUCCGAGCGUUAUCCGGAAUCAUUGGGUUUAAAGGGUCCGCAGGCGGUCUUUUAAGUCAGAGGUGAAAUCCUACAGCUCAACUGUAGAACUGCCUUUGAUACUGAAAGACUUGAGUUAUUGUGAAGUGGUUAGAAUGUGUGGUGUAGCGGUGAAAUGCAUAGAUAUCACACAGAAUACCGAUUGCGAAGGCAGAUCACUAAAAAUAUACUGACGCUCAUGGACGAAAGCGUGGGGAGCGAACAGGAUUAGAUACCCUGGUAGUCCACGCCGUAAACGAUGGAUACUAGCUGUUCGUCAAACAUUGGUUAGAUGAGUGGCUAAGCGAAAGUGAUAAGUAUCC